rnacentral:lncRNA from 1 species
UUGAUGCGCAUCACUGUAAGACCAGCUGCUGAGUCUCCAGGUCUGGGUUACAAAAUUCAAUCAAGGCUGAUGGUGUGUGUGUGUGUGUGUGUGUGUGUGUGUGUGUGUGUGUGUGUGUGUGUGUGUGUGUGUGUGUGUGUGUGUGUGUGUGUGUGUGUGUGUGUGUGUGUGUGUGUGUGUGUGUGUGUGUGUGUGUGUGUGUGUGUUCAGCAGUGCCCACCCAGUGCAGUGGUGUGUGUGUGAGUGAUCAGGAGCUGUCCCGGCUGGUGGCUCUCACUCCUCUCUCACGGACCAUCCAGGAGAUCCAGGAGUCUCUGCGGAGCCUGCCCCGCCCACAGGAAGCAGUGACCGAGGAGGAGCCGCCCUCCUGCCCCGCCACGCCCCUCACGCCCCUGACGCCCCUCGCCCUGGACUCCCUCUCCCCCUGGCACUUCUCCGUCUUCCUGUUCGGCUGCCACCUCGUCCGCCUGCUCCGGGGCAUCCAGGGCUUCCCCCAGGUCCUGCUGCUCCUGGCUAAGAGCGUGCCCGCGGCAGCCGCCUCUCACACCGACGACAGCAUGGUGGCCUACUGCUGCGGGGACUUUUAUUAUGACACACGCAACCAGAUCCUCUACCUGCUGGAGUCCAGGCUGCAGGACGUGGGCCAGUGGGUCUCCGUGCUCCUGCACUCCAUGGCCUACGUCAGCGCCGGCCAGGAGGGAGCUCGGCCCAGAGAGUUCAUGGAGGCCUUCCACAAGGCCCUGUCAGUGCUGGGGCUAGAGCUGUUCACACACUCUUUCACUCAGGACCAGAGGAGUACAGAGGACGAGGGCACCAGGAGUUUUCGAGGGACAGUCGUCGAGGACUUCUUGAGUGUGAGAGUGUCCUCUGACACACAUCUCACACCACACCUGCUGCAGGAGAGGCUUCAGAAAUACAAGUACUUCAAGCUGGAGCAGGUUCUCCAUGACCUCAGUCCAGCGAGGCAGCCUGAAGGAGCAGUGAAGGGCCACGAGGCUCCUCCCACACAGGUAUUGUGUGUGGAGCAGGAGAUAAAGAGGCUUAAUGACGUGUACCUGCAGCUGGGCUCACAGCUUCUGAGCCAAUCACCUGGGGCACACACACACUGUCACACACAGUCUCUCUCCCAGGCACCUCCAGAGACGGCUGUGGCCCAGGAGAGGACCCUGCUUCUGAGUCUGCAGCAGCACACCGUAGCCAAGAGGCUGGAGGAGAUGAGAGAGAAGCUCUCCAGGAUCACACCCCAGAAAACACACACCCCGCAGAAAUCACUUCCUGCUCAACACACACCAACACACAGCACCCUCUUGACAGAGAGCCAGGCCCAGGCCCAGACACACACACACCAGCCAGAGGAGCUGAAAUCAGAGAGCAGCGUCUCCCAGCAGGACACAGCAAAGCCCAGCGUCUAACACACACACACACACAGCAAAGCCCAGCGUCUAACACACACAGCAAAGCCCAACAUCUAACACACACAGCGUCUAACACACACAGCGUCUAACACACACAGCAAAGCCCAGCGUCUAACACACACAGCAAAGCCCAGCGUCUGACACACACAGCAAAGCCCAGCGUCUAACACACACAGCGUCUAACACACACAGCGUCUAACACAUACAGCAAAGCCCA